rnacentral:lncRNA from 1 species
GGGGUCCCAAGCUUUUCCUUCAGGGCCAGCAUGACCGCUGGGAGGAUCACGCCAAGAUGACGGGUGAGGGCAUCACCAGCCACUGACGAAAGGAAAGCCAGCACCCGGGUGUUGACAGGUGGCGUUGUCAGCUUGGGCACAAGGUAGGGCAGCACCACACGACUCUUAAUAGCCAUGACUUGCUUCAGACCAUCCAAGGCAAACUCUGACACCUCCUCG